rnacentral:misc_RNA from 1 species
GAAAUGCGAUACUUAAUGUGAAUUGCAGGAAUCUGUGAAUCAUCAAAAUUUUGAACGCAAGUUGCAGCUCUGUUAAGGAGCUAUGUCUAUUUCAGUGUUGGUAAAAACAAUAAUAACAUCUUUUGGUGUUGUAUUGAAUGUAUAAAAGUCUGACUUUUAUUCAUUUUAAUUGAAUCAAUAGUUUCUAAUCUUUAUUUGAUAGCCUUUAUUGGAUUAUUUUAUAAGAUUGUUAAACUUUAUUCAAGUAUAUUUUUAAUCAUCAACCUGAAAUUAGUCAAGAUUACCCGCUGAACUUAA